rnacentral:ribozyme from 1 species
GGACCUUGGGGCCAGAGUUCAACCAUCUACUUUUCCGUGAAACCUUACAUAUGAUGUAAUCAACUGAAUUUCUGGCUGAUUGUCGUUUUUGAAUCUCCAAAGAAACACACAACAAAAACAAAA